rnacentral:rRNA from 1 species
CCCUUAGAUGUUCUGGGCCGCACGCGUGCUACACUGAGUGGAUCAGCGGGUCAGGUUGCGCGAAAGUGUUUCCUAAUCUUGAAAUCCGCUCGUGAUGGGGAUUGACGGUUGCAAUUUUCCGUCAUGAACGAGGAAUACCUUGUAAGCGCGGGUCAUCAUCCCGCGCUGAAUACGUCCCUGCCCUUUGUACACACCGCCCGUCGCUCCUAUCGAUUGAGUGGUCCGGUGAGGCUUUGGGAUCUGAGCGGAAAGAGCGUUUCGCUGUUUCUGCUCGGAAAACUCAGUCGAACCUUAUCAUUUAGAGGAAGGAGAAGUCGUAACA